rnacentral:lncRNA from 1 species
UAAUCUUGCUUUUCAUGUUGUGUCCAUUAUUGGUUGAAAUAAGAAUGAGAAGGGCACAUAAACUUGAGUUCUUCAUCACAUAAAUCCGAACUUAACCAAAAAAUAUCAACCAAACAAAUAAGAAUCACAAGGCCACACAAUUUAGCCAAAUGGUCUUUCCCUUUGAUAAUAAAUAAAUAAAUUAAAUAAAUCAACUAAACAUCAAUAAAACAAGGUGUUGUCCGAGACCAUUUUUUGCCCUCCCAUAUUUGGUUCCUAAACAGGUUUUCCUGUAGCAUUAUCAGAAGCAACCUUGGCAGAAGGGGUUUUCUUAGACACCCAGAAGGGGAAACAACCAGUAGCUGCUGGGAUUUUCCUUUCAUCAAACACCUUAUCAUCACCCUUUGCCUCCUGCUGUCUCUUCUCCAUUUCCUUCAUUUUCUUCAUUUUCUCCUUAUGAAGAGAUCGCAUCACGUAAGCUUCAGCGAAAUUAGCUCCAAGACUAACAGUUGCCAUUGAUAGACUGAUAAAAAAAAAAGCUUUUUUAGGUCGAUGCGAUAUUUCACUAGGCUUUGUGUUUGAAAGCACGCUAUUAGGAAAGGAAUGAUGUUUCCAGAACUAUUGAAACUGGGAAAUUUAUAGGCAGCUGGGGGGGCAGAUGGGCGAAGCUUUCAUUGUUGGGUCGAUAGUCGAUAGGUCUUCAAUUUGGCUUGCUGGCCAAGGAAAUCCAUUCGCUGACAUUGUUGAACUCCUUCUUUUUGUGCUGUAAGUUCUGAGAAAGUGUGGAUUUUGUUUUUUAUGUUUUGAAUAUGUCAAUAUUUGACGUGAUUUUUGUAUAUUUAUAGUUUACAUUUUUU